rnacentral:piRNA from 1 species
UGGGACAGUCCAAAAUGAUCUGGAGA